rnacentral:misc_RNA from 1 species
GGGGAAGACGAGAAGCAGAAGAGCUGCUUCAGCUGGAGAAUGAGAGUAGCCUCUGUAUCUUUUUCUUUACUCAUCUUAGAUCUAACCUUUCUCUGGUUCAUGGUUCAAAUCCAUAUAAAAUCCACUUGAAAGUACCGAAUUUUGUUAUCUUGAAGAGGGUAGUAACUAAAACGAACCAGAAAAAUGGACGCAUUAAGGAAACAAGCCAGCAAGCUAAG